AACAUCCCUCCAUGGCCAAUGCAUCAGCUCCUGCUUCCUGACCUGCUUGAGUUCCAGUCCUGACUUCCUUUAGUGAUGAACAGCAUCAUGGAAGUAUCUUGCUCCAGGAAAACAUCACUUGAGUCUGCAUCACAUGAUACAACCAGAAACUUCCACUUCAGUCUCCAAUGCACAAUCAGAACUAAACUACUGUCACACUGCUACAUGAAAGGUUGUAUCUGAUGACAAGGUUUCACCUAUAAUUCACGGUGAUCUUUAAUUCACUCCAUGUUCCAGGGUGACCUCAAGUUCACUGCAAUCCUCCUGACUCAGCCUUUCACGUGUUGAAAUUAUAGGUGUGUGGAAAUAUUAUAUUCAGCUUCAUUUGAACUUAAAAAUAAAUAAAAUCAAUUUUUUAUAUAGUAUAUAGGGAUUUUAUAUAGUAUCAGUCCAAUUCACCAUUUUCUUCUCUUCAAUUAGCAUCCUUUCAUUAGGACAAGCAUGUGUACUGUAAAAACCCAGAUCCUUUUGAUGUCUGCUAUGCUUCUGAAACUGAGUUUUAUGUGAUUGGAUGUGCCCUAUAGACACUAACAAAGAGUGAGAAGACAAUCACCUUCAAUUACAGUUUGAUUCCUUAGCUCCCUAAACAUCACAAUACUGUAUCCAGUGGAGUGUGAGAGAGAAAUAAAAGAGAAAGAGAAGACUGGAGUGUGUUAAGGGCUGAAUAUACAGAUGGCCAUCUCUUUGACCAAAUGAAGUUUUUAGGACUGGGAUUGGGUUACAUAUAAUUGAGUUGGUGACCAAAGAGAUCCCUUCCCAAACAACCCAGGAUGUUUCCAAUACUAUAAGUUGAGCUUCAUGAACUGACAGCAAGUACUCAUUGCUGGAGACAACACCUAUAGAACUCAUUUAACAUGGAGAAGUCAAACUGAUGCCUACACAGAGGCCUUACCACUGUGUUCUAGCAUCUUUGGUAUAGUAAGAUACCAAACUAGCAAAUGGAAAGUGUAAAUGCUAACCCAAUCACAAACCUUUUUUAACUAUUAUAAUGUCCUACUACCAACCAUUCUACAAAGUGUAUCCCACACUGCUUGGAUGACCAAGAACCUCUAACUAGGUAGACCGAGGUACCUUGGAAGAAAAAAUACUACUGUUCUUAAGAAAGCAAAAAGUAACAAAAUGACUCCUAAUAGUAUUCUGCCAUAUUCAUAAAUUAGUGCCUUACACAGCCAUCAUGAGAGAAGCUUUUCCUUGUAACAAAAAGGAAUAAAUACAGAGACAGAGACCCACAGACAGACAUUAUGCAGGAAGUAAAAGACUUUGGAACAGUGAGUCCUAGACAGGAUGUCUCCAUCAAUUCUUCCCACUCAGGGGUCAGAGAACCUUAUGGAAAAGAAUGUAAAAAGAGUGUUAAGAACAAGAGGGGAUGGAGGAUACCAAGAAAACAAGGCCCUCUAAAUCAACAUGUCUCAGGGUUUCCAUUGCUGUGAAGGGAUACCAUGACCAAGGCAACUUUUAAAAAGGCAAACAUUUAAUUGGGGCUUGUUUACAAGUUCAGAGGUAUAGUCCAUUAUAAUCAAGGCCGGAAGCAUGACAGUAUCCAGGAAGACAUGGAGUCUGAGAAUUCUACAUCUUGAUUCAAGGCAACUAGGAGAAGAGACUGUCUUCCAGGCACCUAGGAGAAGGGUUUAAAGCCCACCUCCAAAGUGACACACUUCCUCCAACUAAGCCAUAACUCCUCCAACAAGGUCACACCUCCGAAAAGUGUCACUCACUGGACCAAACAAAACUAAACUACCACAAUAACCAAAACAUACAAAUUUAUAGAGACAGAAGCAACAUUCUGGUUCCUGGCAGGCAUCCAUAGCAGGUCCUCUGCUUCCAGUUUAAUGUUUUUAUGGGAUUCCUGGGUAUGAAGAAGAGUGGCUCUUUGAUUCUUGUGUUGCCUUUUAGGCUCUUUUCCU